rnacentral:rRNA from 150 species
GCGACCCCAGGAUGGGCGAGGCCACCCGCCGAGUUUAAGCAUAUCAAUAAGCGGAGGAGAAG